GAUCAUGCAUUUUUCUACAAGCCUGCCGGCACCAUUUAGGAUUUUGAAAAAUAAUCUAGAAAUGCUAUACCCUUUAUCAAAAUUAUUCUUUACUUUGCAAGAGCUUAACAGUUUUGGUUUUUUCUUAGCAAUUCUAUAAAAUUAACAUCUAUAAAAUGCAUCCCGGACCAGAUACAUACUGUAUUGAAAGCUUUCUUCAAGAAGAGAAUAUGAGAGUGUUCUUUCCAGCUUAUUUUCUUCCUUAGCAAAAGGAUUGUUUGAUUCUCAGAAGCAGAAGGACACAUUCAUUGUGGAGCAGCUCUGCUUAAGUGUAUGAAAUGCCUUCUGUCUGGUUGCAGAAUUUGGAGUUUACUAAACAGUGUUUAGUGAUUGGGCUCAUCUUGCAUCACCAGUUGAUGACAUUUUUCUUUGUUCCCUCCUACCCAGUUGAACCAAGACUCUGAGGCUGAUAUGCAAUGUCACUUACAACAUUAAUCAGAUACUGCAUUUAAGAUCUUGAUGUGGAAGAAAUGGAGGACUCAGAACCAAGGAUUUCCAAGUGAUUUCUUCCAAAGCACAGGAAUCUCACUGUG
rnacentral:sRNA from 1 species